AACGCACAUUGCGCCCGCCAGUAUUCUGGCGGGCAUGCCUGUUCGAGCGUCAUUUCAACCCUCAAGCCCCCGGGCUUGGUGUUGGGGCUCGGCCCGUCCCUCGCGGCGCGCCGUCCCCGAAAUCCAGUGGCGGUCACGCUGUACUCCUCUGCGUAGUAAUCCAACCUCGCAACGGGACAAAGCCUGGCCACGCCGUUAAACCCCCCACUUCUGAAGGUUGACCUCGGAUCAGGUAGGAAUACCCGCUGAACUUAA
rnacentral:misc_RNA from 1 species